UACGUAGGGCGCAAGCGUUGUCCGGAAUUAUUGGGCGUAAAGAGCUCGUAGGCGGUUUGUCGCGUCUGCUGUGAAAACCUAAGGCUCAACCUUGGGCUUGCAGUGGGUACGGGCAGACUAGAGUGCGGUAGGGGUGACUGGAAUUCCUGGUGUAGCGGUGGAAUGCGCAGAUAUCAGGAGGAACACCGGCGGCGAAGGCGGCACUCUGGGCCGGUACUGACGCUGAGGAGCGAAAGCGUGGGUAGCAAACAGG
rnacentral:rRNA from 1 species